AAGCGGGACCAGCUCAAUUUUNAAUCUGGCUGCUUCGCAGUCCGAGUUGUAAUUUGAAGGCGUCUGUCGCAUGUGAGACGAUGGCACAAGUCCUCUGGAACGUGGCAUCGUAGAGGGUGAGAAUCCCGUCUCUGGUCGUUGUCUUGCAGGCACACGGCAGGCGAUCCGAAGAGUCGAGUUGUUUGGGAUUGCAGCUCCAAAUGGGUGGUAAACUCCAUCUAAGGCUAAAUAUUGGCGAGAGACCGAUAGCGAACAAGUACCGUGAGGGAAAGAUGAAAAGAACUUUGAAAAGAGAGUAAAACAGUACGUGAAAUUGUUGAAAGGGAAACGCUUGAAGUCAGUCGUGCCGGCGGGGAUUCAGCGAACUUCGCGGAGUGAGCGUAUUUCCUCGCAUGGCAGGUCAGCGUCAGUUUUGCGCGUCGUGAAAGGGCUCGGGUAAGGUGACUCUCUUCGGGGAGUGUUAUAGGCCUGAGCAGAUGCGAUGCGCGGGACUGAGGAUUGCAGCGGACACCCUUCGGGGCGCGGCGACCGAUCCCUGCUCUGUCACCUUCGUCCGAUAGCGUGCUAACGGUCGGGGGAGCGGCGGUUGCACCGGNUGGCMAGCCGGCGGCUNCCC
rnacentral:rRNA from 1 species